rnacentral:rRNA from 1 species
AGUGAACGCUGGCGGUAGGCCUAACACAUGCAAGUCGAACGGCAGCGCAGUAAGAGCUUGCUCUUACGGGUGGCGAGUGGCGGACGGGUGAGGAAUACAUCGGAAUCUACUUUUUCGUGGGGGAUAACGUAGGGAAACUUACGCUAAUACCGCAUACGACCUACGGGUGAAAGCAGGGGAUCUUCGGACCUUGCGCGAUUGAAUGAGCCGAUGUCGGAUUAGCUAGUUGGCGGGGUAAAGGCCCACCAAGGCGACGAUCCGUAGCUGGUCUGAGAGGAUGAUCAGCCACACUGGAACUGAGACACGGUCCAGACUCCUACGGGAGGCAGCAGUGGGGAAUAUUGGACAAUGGGCGCAAGCCUGAUCCAGCCAUACCACGUGGGUGAAGAAGGCCUUCGGGUUGUAAAGCCCUUUUGUUGGGAAAGAAAAGCAGCAGAUUAAUACCCCGCUGUUCUGACGGUACCCAAAGAAUAAGCACCGGCUAACUUCGUG